GUGGGGAAUAUUGCGCAAUGGGCGAAAGCCUGACGCAGCGACGCCGCGUGGGGGAUGAAGGCCUUCGGGUUGUAAACCCCUUUCAGCAGGGACGAAGCGAAAGUGACGGUACCUGCAGAAGAAGCGCCGGCUAACUACGUGCCAGCAGCCGCGGUAACACGUAGGGCGCAAGCGUUGUCCGGAAUUAUUGGGCGUAAAGAGCUCGUAGGCGGUCUGUUGCGUCCGCUGUGAAAACUCGGGGCUUAACCCCGAGCCUGCAGUGGAUACGGGCAGACUAGAGGUAGGUAGGGGAGAAUGGAAUUCCCGGUGUAGCGGUGAAAUGCGCAGAUAUCGGGAGGAACACCGGUGGCGAAGGCGGUUCUCUGGGCCUUACCUGACGCUGAGGAGCGAAAGCGUGGGGAGCGAACAGGAUUAGAAACCCGGGUAGUCC
rnacentral:rRNA from 1 species